AUAGGUUUGUUUGGAUUUGUUCGCGUCGCAUGCCUCAACAUGCUCCUAUCACGUAUUCAUUUUGUAACAAUAAAUGUAUGUUUCAUCAUCGGAUUCUUCGCGGAAAAGAAAUGUUAAAACAGUAACACAAUAUGAAAAAAAACAAUUUCUUUCAACAAAUUAUUCACACAAUAAAAACAAAUGCGGGAAGAGGGGACAGAAUUCAGCGCAGAAAUAGGACGUGCACUUUCUUCACGACGGUAAAAGAGCUUUUGCCCUGCUUUUAAGUGCAAAGUGACGCUUCGUGGUUGUGGUAUUCCGUGGUAUCCUCGUGAGAGCAUCAGCAGAUGAGUCCCAUCUAGGAGACUAAAACGGGACAUGGCAACCUACCGAACUACGUUUAGGUCCAGCGUGAAAGGGGCCAAUCCGGUCCCUACGUAAAGGUUCCGGGACAUUCGCUCGUCGCAGAACCUAAUCCUUGCUUACUUAACUUGCCGCUUUUCGGCUUAAAAGCUUGGUUGGCUUUGCGGUUACUGUCAACGAAUAAACAUGAUAAAUUGCUGUUUGUAUUCCCCUUUUUUUUAUUUCUAAAUCCAAUAAAAUAACAAUUACAUUAUUA